ACACGUAGGGGGCGAGCGUUGUCCGGAUUUAUUGGGCGUAAAGAGCUCGUAGGUGGCUCGGUAAGUCGGGUGUGAAAUUUCGAGGCUCAACCUCGAGACGCCACCUGAUACUGCUGUGGCUAGAGUCCGGUAGGGGAGCGUGGAAUUCCUGGUGUAGCGGUGAAAUGCGCAGAUAUCAGGAGGAACACCAGCGGCGAAGGCGGCGCUCUGGGCCGGUACUGACACUGAGGAGCGAAAGCGUGGGGAUCAAACAGGAUUAGAUACCCUGGUAGUCCACGCCGUAAAUGUUGGGCACUAGGUGUGGGGUUCUAUCAACGGACUCCGUGCCGAAGCUAACGCAUUAAGUGCCCCGCCUGGGGAGUACGGCCGCAAGGCUAAA
rnacentral:rRNA from 1 species